rnacentral:SRP_RNA from 10 species
GCUGGAUGCUGUGGUGCACACCUAUCAUCACAACUAUUCAGGAGGCUGAGGUGGGAGGAUCGCUUGGGUCCAGCCGUUUUGGGCUGUAGUGUGCUAUGCUGAUAGAGUGUCCACACUAUGUUUGGCCACAAUGUAGUGACCUCCCAAUUCGGGACCACCAGGUUGCUUGAGGAGGGGUGAGCCAGCCCAGGUCAGAAAUGGAGCAGGUCAAAACUGCCAUGUUGAUUAGUAGUGGGACUGCACCUGUGAAUAGCCACUGCCCUCCAGACUGGGCAACAUAGUGAGACCCCUGUC